rnacentral:rRNA from 1 species
AGGACGAACGCUGGCGGCGUGCUUAACACAUGCAAGUCGAGCGGUAAGGCCUUUCGGGGUACACGAGCGGCGAACGGGUGAGUAACACGUGGGUGAUCUGCCCUGCACUCUGGGAUAAGCCUGGGAAACUGGGUCUAAUGCCGGAUAUGACCUGCUCUCGCAGUGGGGGGUGGGUGGAAA